AAUAUUGCACAAUGGGCGCAAGCCUGAUGCAGCAACGCCGCUUGCGCGACGAAGGCCUUCGGGUCGUAAAGCGCUUUUCGGGGAGAUGAGUACGGACAGUAUCCCCGGAAUAAGGAUCGGCUAACCACGUGCCAGCACCCGCGGUAAACUGUAGGAUGCGAGCGUUAUCCGAAUUCACUGGGCGUAAAGCGCAUGCAGGCGGCCGCACAAGUUGGAUGUGAAAUCACCCGGCUCAACUGGGAGGGGACGUUCAAAACUGUGCGGCUCGAGGGCGGUAGAGGAAGGUAGAAUUCCCGGUGUAGUGGUGAAAUGCGUAGAUAUCGGGAGGAAUACCCGUGGCGAAGGCGACCUUCUGGACCGUUUCUGACGCUCAGAUGCGAAAGCUAGGGGAGCGAACGGG
rnacentral:rRNA from 1 species